rnacentral:rRNA from 1 species
UACAGAGGGGGCAAGCGUUGUUCGGAAUUACUGGGCGUAAAGGGCGCGUAGGCGGCCUUCUAAGUCGAACGUGAAAUCCCCGGGCUCAACCCGGGAACUGCGUCCGAUACUGGAAGGCUUGAAUCCGGGAGAGGGAUGUGGAAUUCCAGGUGUAGCGGUGAAAUGCGUAGAUAUCUGCAGGAACACCCGUGGCGAAAGCGGCGCGCUGGACCGCUACUGACGCUGAGGAACGAAAGCUAGGGGAGCAAACAGG